AUGCGAAAACUUUACAAUGCACGAAAGUGUGAUAAGGGAACUCUUAGUGCUCACAUUGUGGGCUUUUGCCAAAGGUAAGGACUUUGGCGAAUAAGUGGUGGGUAAGACAGGUGCCAGCAGCCGCGGUAACCCCUGCGCCACUAGUGGGAACCACUUUUAUUGGGCCUAAAGCGUUUGUAGCCGGUUUAUUAAGUUCUUUGUGAAAUUGUACAGCUCAACUGUACAUCGUGCGGAGAAUACUGAUAGACUUGGAACCGGGAGGAGCCAGAAGUAUUCUAGGGGGAGCGGUAAAAUGUGAUAAUCCCUAGAGGACUAACUGUGGCGGAGGCGUCUGGCUAGAACGGAUUCGACGGUGAUGAACGAAAGCUGGGGGAGCAAAACGG
rnacentral:rRNA from 1 species